UGAUAGCUGUGAAGCGCGAGGUUGCUACCCAAUGUGGUAGGUUUUUCCGUGGAGCGAAUGUCAAGUUAGGAAACUGGCGACAA
rnacentral:ncRNA from 1 species